rnacentral:rRNA from 1 species
GGGGAAUAUUGGGCAAUGGGCGAAAGCCUGACCCAGCAACGCCGCGUGAAGGAAGAAGGUCUUCGGACUGUAAACUUCUUUUAUCAGGGACGAAGUAAGUGACGGUACCUGAUGAAUAAGCCACGGCUAACUACGUGCCAGCAGCCGCGGUAAUACGUAGGUGGCAAGCGUUAUCCGGAUUUACUGGGUGUAAAGGGCGCGUAGGCGGGGAUACAAGUCAGAUGUGAAAUCUAUGGGCUUAACCCAUAAACUGCAUUUGAAACUGUAUCUCUUGAGUGUCGGAGAGGUAGACGGAAUUCCUAGUGUAGCGGUGAAAUGCGUAGAUAUUAGGAGGAACACCAGUGGCGAAGGCGGUCUACUGGACGAUAACUGACGCUGAGGCGCGAAAGCGUGGGGAGCAAAC